GUAGCUAAAUGCGGAAGAGAUAAGUGCUGAAAGCAUCUAAGCACGAAACUUGCCCCGAGAUGAGUUCUCCCUGACCCUUUAAGGGUCCUGAAGGAACGUUGAAGACGACGACGUUGAUAGGCCGGGUGUGUAAGCGCAGCGAUGCGUUGAGCUAACCGGUACUAAUGAACCGUGAGGCUUAACCUUACAACGCCGAAGCUGUU
rnacentral:rRNA from 1 species